rnacentral:rRNA from 1 species
UACAGAGGAGCCAAGCGUUGUCCGGAUUGACUGGGCGUAAAGCGCACGCAGGCGGUUGCGCGCGUGGGGUGUGAAAUCUGGCCGCUUAACGGCCAGGCGCCAUCCCAUACGGCGCGACUGGAGUGAUGCAGAGGUCGAUGGAAUUGCCGGUGUAGUGGUGAAAUGCGUAGAUAUCUGGAGGAACACCGGUGGCGAAGGCGACAUCCUGGACCGGUAUUGACGCUGAGGCGCGAAAGCCAGGGGAGCAAACGGGG